GAAAUGCGAUACGUAGUGCGAAUUGCAGAAUUUAGUGAAUCAUCGAAUCUUUGAACGCACAUUGCGCCCGCCGGCACUCCGGCGGGCACGCCCGUCCGAGCGUCGCUUUCACCGCACUCGGUGGCCCGCCAGCCUGCCCGGCAGGCGCGGCCGCCGGCGUUGGGCACCCCGCGGCUCCCCGCCGCGGAGCCCGAAAGACAGCGGCGGCAGCGCCCGCGGCGUCCCCUGCGUAGUAACUCACCUCGCACCGGACCCCGAGCGCGGCCGGCCCCGCGGCUUGCCCGCGGACCCACCAAAAGGUUGACCUCGGAUCGGGCGGGGCUACCCGCUGAACUUAA
rnacentral:misc_RNA from 1 species